AGCGAAAAACCAGAGUUGUGACGUCAAAUUUGUAUCGCAUUCGCAUUUGCAUUGGCAGGAAGUAUAAACCGGGCUUAACGAUUCUCUCAACAUGCUAACCUUGUUUUUGAUUGGUUUUUUUUCACAGUCUGUUACCUGUUAUUGCUAAAUUGAUGAAGUGGCAAGCAAUUGUGCACAGAUGGCAGCUCUGGGACACCGUAGAUGACAUUGGUUUUUAAAGUAUUGGUGUUGUGUCAGGUAAAGUAUGUGGUGAAUCCAACUUUUGUGACCAAAAUGCUAAAACAUCAAGUUAUUUUUCUUCCAAAAUGCAGAUCGUGUUUUCUUCUUGUGGCUGAAGUCUCAGAACUGAGCUGAGGUGAUGCCUAUACUAGCAGAGACUGUCAAGCAAUUUGUCAGCUGUGAAGUUGUGGCUACAACCAGACCUGUUUGCGGCAUUGCUGGAGGAUACCGGCUGUAUAGGAGUCAACAACAGACCUCUCGAUUUAGAUGAUGACCUUGAAGAUGACAUAUCCAACCUUGAGGCUUAAUCGGCGCUUUUUGGAUCGGGUGCCACCAGCUGAAGAAGAAUUCUCCGCUCCAAGUUCACACAACCUAGAGAGGUUGAGGCCAACCACUGCUUUUUUGGACAGAUUGUGAUCAAGACAUUGGAGAAGACAUACAUCCAAUCUUGAGGCUUUUUGGACUGUGUACCACCAACUGAAGAACUGUUUAGAUGAUUCUCCACUACAACUCCAACCAUUCCAGUGACAUCGUUAUUGAGGCCAACCAACGCCUGCAAAGAGCCAAGAACAAACUACUUGACUGAGAUGCUAAGAGACUGAGAAGGACUGUGUCAAUUCAGACUUGAUGACUCUCCACUGCAGGUUCAACUGUUCAUAUACCAGAGGGAUGUUGAGGCUAACCAUCGCUUUUGAGACGUUUGCAAAGAGUCAACAAAAGAGCGCUUGUUUGAGAUGUAGAGACGACAUAUCCAAUCUUGAGCCCCAACCAACACUUUUUGGACUGUGUACCACCAGCUGAAGAAGGACUGUGUCAAUUCAAGACAGACAUGACUCCCCACUACAAGUUCUAGAGACACUAGAGGGAUCUUGAGGAUAACCAACGCUUUUUGGGCCAUAUGAAUCAAUCGGAAGAAGAACUGUGUAAAGUUUAGCCAGAUGACUC